CAAUAGCGUAUAUUAACGUUGUUGCAGUUAAAAAGCUCGUAGUUGGAUUUCUGGAGGGAGCGUCGGCCCGUAUUUACGAGUGCGUGACGUCUCUGUCCAUCCUUGCGGGAAGGCACGGCAUUGAUUUGUUGUGUCGGAUCGCAUCAUUUACUGUGAAAAAAUUAGAGUGUUCAAAGCAGGCUUUCGCUUGAAUACAUUAGCAUGGAUUAAUAAGAUAGGACUUUGGUGCUAUUUUGUUGGUUGAGCCUAAAGUAAUGAUUAAUAGGGAUAGUUGGGGGCACCUGUAUUGCGUUGUCAGAGGUGAAAUUCUUGGAUUUACGCAAGACAAACAGCUGCGAAAGCGUCUGCCAAGGAUGUUUUCAUUAA
rnacentral:rRNA from 1 species